GGGCUGGGCUUUUCAUUGACCAUGGGUUGGAAUAGUUCUGUGGGCAUAGUGUGUCUUCGAAGCCACUAUGUUUUCUGCACUUGAGACUAGAGAGCCCCUUGAUAGCUCAGUUGGUAGAGCGGUCGACUGUAAGAUGCUCCUUGUGUGAAACGCUGUGAUCCUAAGGUCGCUGGUUCAACUCCAGCCGGAAGCACCUCCUUGUCAUUGGAAAUACCCCAAAGCCUUGUCUUUAUCUGUCAACUCCUCCAAAAUGUAAAAACACAAACAAGAUAACUCGUUCUUAAAUUUUCAACCAUCAAUUUUUUAUUCACCCAGCCUAAAAGUCCUGAUUAUCAGUUCUGGGUCCCUGGCAAUGACUGUUGGGUACAAACUGCAAAGCUUUGUUCGUCAGGUAGGGCUGGGCUUUUCAUUGACCAUGGGUUGGAAUAGUUCUGUGGGCAUAGUGUGUCUUCGAAGCCACUAUGUUUUCUGCACUUGUGACUAGAGAGCACCUUGAUAGCUCAGUUGGUAGAGCGGUGGACUGUAAGAUGCUCCUUGUGUGAAACGCUGUGAUCCUAAGGUGGCUGGUUCAACUCCAGCCGGAAGCACCUCCUCGUCAUUGGAAAUACCCCAAAACCUUGUCUUUAUCUGUCAACUCCUCCAAAAUGUAAAAACACAAACAAGAUAACUCUUUCUUAAAUUUUCAACCAUCAAUUUUUUAUUCACCCAGCCUAAAAGUCCUGAUUAUCAGUUCUGGGUCCCUGGCAAUGACUGUUGGGUACAAACUGCAAAGCUUUGUUCGUCAGGUAGGGCUGGGCUUUUCAUUGACCAUGGGUUGGAAUAGUUCUGUGGGCAUAGUGUGUCUUCGAAGCCACUAUG